UACGUAGGGUGCGAGCGUUGUCCGGAAUUAUUGGGCGUAAAGAGCUUGUAGGCGGUUUGUCGCGUCUGCCUGUGAAAUUUCGGGGCUCAACCCCGAACUUGCAGUGGGUACGGGCAGACUAGAGUGUGGUAGGGGAGACUGGAAUUCCUGGUGUAGGCGGUGAAAUGCGCAGAGUAUCAGGAGGAACACCGAUGGCGAAGGCAGGCUCUGGGCCACUACUGACGCUG
rnacentral:rRNA from 1 species